GACUGGAAUUCCCGGUGUAACGGUGGAAUGUGUAGAUAUCGGGAAGAACACCAAUGGCGAAGGCAGGUCUCUGGGCCGUUACUGACGCUGAGGAGCGAAAGCGUGGGGAGCGAACAGGAUUAGAUACCCUGGUAGUCCACGCCGUAAACGGUGGAUGCUGGAUGUGGGGCCCGUUCCACGGGUUCCGUGUCGGAGCUAACGCGUUAAGCAUCCCGCCUGGGGAGUACGGCCGCAAGGCUAAAACUCAAAGAAAUUGACGGGGGCCCGCACAAGCGGCGGAGCAUGCGGAUUAAUUCGAUGCAACGCGAAGAACCUUACCUGGGCUUGACAUGUUCCCGACGAUCCCAGAGAUGGGGUUUCCCUUCGGGGCGGGUUCACAGGUGGUGCAUGGUCGUCGUCAGCUCGUGUCGUGAGAUGUUGGGUUAAGUCCCGCAACGAGCGCAACCCUCGCCCCGUGUUGCCAGCGGAUUAUGCCGGGAACUCACGGGGGACCGCCGGGGUUAACUCGGAGGAAGGUGGGGAUGACGUCAGAUCAUCAUGCCCCUUACGUCCAGGGCUUCACGCAUGCUACAAUGGCCGGUACAACGGGAUGCGACAGUGCGAGCUGGAGCGGAUCCCUGAAAACCGGUCUCAGUUCGGAUCGCAGUCUGCAACUCGACUGCGUGAAGGCGGAGUCGCUAGUAAUCGCGAAUCAGCAACGUCGCGGUGAAUGCGUUCCCGGGCCUUGUACACACC
rnacentral:rRNA from 1 species